AGCAGGGUGGGGAAAUGGCUAACCCGCAGGCCUCAUAAGCCUGAGAACGGAGGUUCGAAUCCUCCCCCUGCUCCCU
rnacentral:tRNA from 1 species